GACAGCAUGGCAUAGUGGUUUGAGUCUUAGACUGCAACUCUGGAGACCAGGUUUUGAUUCCCCACUCAGUCA